rnacentral:rRNA from 1 species
CCCCGUGCAUGAGUGGCGGACGGGUGAGUAACGCGUGGGCAACCUGCCCUGUACAGGGGGACAACACUUAGAAAUAGGUGCUAAUACCGCAUAACGGGGGGAGCCGCAUGGCACCCCCUGAAAACUCCGGUGGUACAGGAUGGGCCCGCGUCUGAUUAGCUGGUUGGCAGGGUAACGGCCUACCAAGGCGACGAUCAGUAGCCGGCCUGAGAGGGCGGACGGCCACACUGGGACUGAGACACGGCCCAGACUCCUACGGAAGGCAGCAG